UUCCGGUUGAUCCCGCCGGACCCCACUGCUAUCGAGGUGGGACUAAGCCAUGCUAGUUGAGCGCACAGAACUAUGUCUGUGAGCGGCACACUGCUCAGUAACACGUAGCUAACCUACCCUUAGGACGUGGACAACCCCGAGAAAUUGGGGCUAAUCCGCGAUAGAUGUAUUGUCCUGGAAUGGUAUUACGUCUAAAGGUAUCCCAUACAUGUUUGGUAUAUGCCUAAGGAUGGGGCUGCGGCCGAUCAGGCUGUUGGUGAGGUAAUGGCUCACCAAACCUUUGACCGGUACGGGCCAUGAGAGUGGUAGCCCGGAGAUGGACACUGAGACAAGGGUCCAGGCCCUACGGGGCGCAGCAGGCGCGAAACCUCCUCAAUGCACUUACGUGCGAAGGGGCUACCUCGAGUGCCAUCUGAUGAAGGUGGCUUUUCCUAGGUCUAAAAAGCCUUGGGAAUAAGAGGGGGGCAAGACUGGUGUCAGCCGCCGCGGUAACACCAGCCCCUCGAGUGGUGGGGAUGAUUAUUGGGCCUAAAGCGUCCGUAGCCUGCCGUGUAAGUUUCCCGUUAAAUCCAGCGUCUUAAGCGUUGGACCGCGGGAAAUACUGUACGGCUAGAGAGUGGGAGAGGUCAGCGGUAUUCUGGGGGUAGGGGCGAAAUCCUUUGAUCCCCGGAGGACCACCAGUGGCGAAGGCUGCUGUCUAGAACACGUCUGACGGUCAGGGACGAAAGCUGGGGUAGCGAACCGGAUUAGAUACCCGGGUAGUCCCAGCCGUAAACGAUGCAUGCUAGGUGCUGGGUUGGCCACGAGCCACCCCAGUGCCGCAGGGAAGCCGUUAAGCAUGCCGCCUGGGAAGUACGAUCGCAAGGUUGAAACUUAAAGGAAUUGGCGGGGGAGCACCACCAGGCGUGAAGCCUGCGGUUUAAUUGGAGUCAACGCCGGA
rnacentral:rRNA from 1 species